CCCUGCUGCUACUUCUCAAUGGUCUGCUUCCCAUCCUUUGGUCAUAUCUGAAGAGCCCUGGUGGGACAUAAGCGGACUUCUGGUUUCAGUGAAGGCUUCAGCUGUAUGUGAACAUUUAUGACAAAAUGCACUCGAGCAUCUAGAGUCAUCUUAAGAUGGAAAUUACUUUUCUUCAUAGUUGGAUAGCUUCAAGUUGGCUAUGAUGAUUUUUAUAUCCUGUGUCCAAACAAAGAAGAAAAUAACCCAUCCUUCCAAAACCCAAGACCAUGUCCAUGUGCAUUGGAGGCACAAGACUGAAUGAGAGAAACUGUGUUAAAGUCAGAUUCCAUUGGCAUGUCUGUCCGCUUUUGCAAAGAACAUGUUGGUGGAAACAUGUUCCACAUGUCAGUGGUUACCCUGAUUCUUUGAAUUUAAUGGUGGGGCUGGCAAAGAAAGCUGGAGCAUUUGGGAAGCCUGAAGCCUGCCCUUCCUGGCAGCAUCAGAAAGCAAGGGGAGAUGUUGGUGUACAGGCAAAAGUCAGCUCUCAACACAGGUGAUGGAGGACUGUGUAUGUAGCCAGGGAUAAAGAAUCCAGGAGGGGCCUGAAGAUGGGUGGAACCAAUGAAAUGAAUCAUCCCAGGUGUAUCAUCUCUUGUUUGGAAAUAUCCUAGCCCAUUCCUACCUUCCUUUUGUUUAAACCACCUCCUUUUCUGAAUGGCUGUGCCUUUUCAUUCUUGUCUUCUGAUCAUGCACGGACUCCGGCUCCCAGCUUGACCUGAGCGUUUGCAGGAAGCACACUAAGGUUUGGGGCUCUCUAGAGACACGGUUUUGACUCCAGGGCUGGAGGAAACAUCACUACCAGAAGUGGAUGUAUACUUCGAGGAGGAAGGUCUUGGAUUUCCAGGGAGUAGGCGGUCAUCUGUGCCGCAGAUGGACUUGUGUGACUCUGCUGAGGUUAAUUCUUUGCAGCACGCCUAUCCCUCACGCAUGCACGAAGUUCUGGAAGUCUCCCCUGCUACAUGUUGCUGUGUAAUUGUGGCCUGACUUAUCCACCAUGAGCAUGAAGACUGUGACUCAGCAGAGAUCAAGGCCACAGCAGGCAUCCUUACACACCCAUGUUUAGAUGUGCAGAAGCUGGGAGCCUGUGUUUGUGAGAAGGAAGACAGGCUUAGGAUUGAGGUGAGAAAUACCUCUCAUUGCAGAGGUGGUGUCCAAUAGUCUGAUUCAUGCCUGUCCCUCAGUUAAUCACGGUUUCUUAACUGCUGCUCUAUUGACAUUUUGGACCAGAUAAUUGUCCUGGGUGUUCCCCUGUGCUUUAUAGGAUGUUUGCAGCAUGCUGGCCUGCACUCACUGGAUGCCGAUAGCACCACUCUGCCUUUCUCUCCCCAUCAUGAUAAUCUAAAGUCUUUCUCCGGGCAUUGCCAAAUGUCCCUUGGCGAGGGGCAAAAAUCAUUCUUGCUUGAGAACCACUGGAUCAGAUAAAAUUAAACAGACUUUCUAUUCCUCAGACUCUAAGCCUGGUGCUUGAUGGGAAUGUGGGGACAGAUAACGCCCAAGGAAAUUACAGGAGUAAGAGGGUUAUCUGGAGCAGGAAAACGUGCCAGGUAAGAUGCGUGUUUGCUUGGGUUUGGGAUUUUCUUAUCUGGGGACCGAGUGGCUGAUUACAGGCUCAGGGCUCAUUACUCCCAAAUUACCCGUCUGUCACUGCUCAUUAGAGGAGUUUUCAUUUGAAAUCUGUUUCUGGUUGUUGCCCUCUUUGAAGAGAAGAGUGAAUGAGGUCACAGGGAUUAAUGGCUGCUAAAAGCCAUUCGGUUUCAACAUUUCUCCAAGGAAAACGAAUCAUCAUGUUUUCUGAACGCAAAACUCCGAAAUAAAGAUAUGGGGAGUAGCAGGCCCUCUCCAAUCAGACAGGCUCAGGAAAGUUUCCCCUACCAAAAUAGAGCUGCUUAUAACAAACUGGAGUGGAGAGAGGGUGCAAGAGGGAGCUCCCAGGCACCUGCCUGGAACCUGCCUCAUCACAAGAAAAGCCUGCCGUCCCACACGCCACAUGUGGCCCAUGCCUUUUAGCAGAACCUUUCUCAAGAGCCUCCUGAAGACUUCAGGACUCUGGACAGGCCACCUGCUGAAGGACACUGACCCCAGCAGCGGUGUCUCCACCAAGAAAGGAACAGUGAGCAAUGAACAGCACCGAUUCCUACACUGAGCCUCUGUGACCUGUGGACUUUGUUUCAAAACAGCUUGUGUGGGCUUCCUUUUGUCCAUAAAAGCUUCCCCUUUGUCCCGGCCCCCUUGCUAGGACUGUGAUCAUCGUAGAAUGCACAUCCCAAGUUGUGGCUCCCUCCACUAUUUCCAAAUAAACUUUC
rnacentral:lncRNA from 10 species